GACAGAGGGUGCAAACGUUGCUCGGAAUCACUGGGCGUAAAGCGCGUGUAGGCGGCCAUCUAAGUCGGGCGUGAAAUCCCACGGCUCAACCGUGGAAGUGCACUCGAAACUGGAUGGCUAGAGUCCUGGAGAGGAAGGUGGAAUGCUUGGUGUAGAGGUGAAAUUCGUAGAUAUCAAGCGGAACACCGGUGGCGAAGGCGGCCUUCUGGACAGUGACUGACGCUGAGACGGCGAAAAGCGUGGGGAGCAAACAGGG
rnacentral:rRNA from 1 species